GAGGGCUCUCUGAGCUGAAGCGGUUGCCCGGUGCUUCUGAGAAAUGGCAAGGGGUACGUUUAUCAGAAGGUGCCCCUGGCUACUAGGAAUGUCCUGGACAGAAAGUUUCAGUAAGGAAUGUGGGCCCUGGUGGGAAAACCAAGAGGAGAGCAUGGGGCCUGUCAGAGACACCAGUAUGAUUUUAAAGUGAAGGACAGAAUGUAAAACUCUGACACCUCUGUGAUCUCGGCAAAUGCAUAGAACCUUCUUUCCUCAAGCGACUCAGUGAAGUGACCACAGAUGCUAGCUAGUGACUGGUCUGUAAAAAAUAUAUUUGUCUCUGUUGUUGUGAUUUGAUUUUGGAAGCAAAUACGUAAAGGAUACAUUGCUCGCCUCGAAUCCCCACUCCCCACCCCUGCCCGACCCUCUUUACUUCUAGGUACUUAAGAAGUGUGUUAAGAGGGAGGAAUCCAGCCCUUGUAUGGGCUGGGGUAUCCUGACUUGAUGCCAACGGUUCUACACACCUUGGAGAGACCCAGAUAAAAAGUGGAGGGUAUUUUCUUUCUCACUGAGAUGCUGACCACAUCUCUAUUAAGGCUACCAGGAUGUUUAUUGUACUUUUCAUUCGAAUCACGCUGCAAAAGACACCAUCAGCUUCUUCUUUAUCAGCUUGCUGAUAUCAGAGAAGGCACCUACAAGCAAAAGGAAUUUGGAACAAAUGGAAUGGAGGUGCUAUAAGCCAAAAUACAUCAUUUCUAACAUUUAAAAAAGUCCUGUUUCAUUUUAUUUUUAAUACUCAGAAUUAUAUGUCAUACAAUUGAUGUUCAACAUUCCUUUUCUUCCUUCUCUCCCCUUCGGUUCAUUUUAACAAUGCGGGAUACAGAGAGAGAUUUUACAUCCAUUAUGUGAGCAUGGAUUUAUUCUUCCUGGUUACUUCCUUCCGAGUCCAGAAUGUUCAUCUGAAGAAAAGUGGCAUUGAUGUCCCUACCCAACCCCAUCUGGAGCAGGAUGAGGAGUGUUUGGGUCCUGUUCUUUCACGUGAUGAGCCUCUGGCAGACAAACCUGUUUUCCGGGUCCUUUGGCCUGGGAGCCGCUAUGGCUCUUCUUUAAUUAUGGUUAUAACCCCGGUCCCGCCUUCCUUCUAACGACAAAGUUGCUGUUUGCCUUGUUCCCCUCGCACGAACACGGACACCUCACCGCUGGCGUUAUUCAAGACUCUGGAUAUUAAAAAUUCUUAAUGCAGCAUAAAGCAAUAUUUAAAUAGUAUUUCUUAGUGCAGUAUAACAUUACUUAGCCCUUGUAUACAGCAAGUGCUACAUAAGUUGUUGCUUUAAUAACAGUGUUGUUCUUUAAUAUACCUUUCUCUAAAGCUCAGGUCCAAACAACGAUUUGGCUUAAUUAAAAAAAAAAAUUUUUU